rfam:Xenopus laevis strain J chromosome 1S, whole genome shotgun sequence.
CGGAAAUGAUGUCAAAUUUAUGCCCUGACCCCAAUGCAUGGAGGCAAAAACUGAUUUAAUGAGCCUGAUCC